rnacentral:rRNA from 1 species
UACGGAAUGUGCAAACGUUAUUCGGAAUCACUGGGCUUAAAGAGUCCGUAGGCGGCACGUUAGGUGAGGUGUGAAAUCCCCCGGCUCAACCGAGGAAUUGCGCUUCAAACCGGCGUGCUUGAGGAAGAUAGAGGUGGGCGGAACUGAUGGUGGAGCGGUGAAAUGCGUUGAUAUCAUCAGGAACACCGGAGGCGAAAGCGGCCCACUGGGUCUUUUCUGACGCUGAGGGACGAAAGCUAGGGGAGCGAACGGG